GAUGACGGCGAGUGGCGCACGGGUGCGUAACACGUAUGCAACCUACCUUUUACCGGGACAUAACCUUGAGAAAUCGGGGCUAACAUUCCAUAAUAUUUUUGAUUGGCAUGUUAGGAUAAUUAAAAUUCCGAUGGUAUAAGAUGGGCAUGCGUUACAUUAGCUAGUUGGUAAGAUAAAGGCUCACCAAGGCUACGAUGGAUAGGGGGUCUGAGAGGAUAAUCCCCCACACUGGAACUGAGACACGGUCCAGACUCCUACGGGAGGCAGCAGUAGGGAAUAUUGGGCAAUGGAGGCAAGUCUGACCCAGCCAUGCCGCGUGCAGGAAGACGGCCUUAUGGGUUGUAAACUGCUUUUAAUAGGGAAAAAAGUCUCUGACGUGUCAGAGGUUGCAAGUACCGUAAGAAUAAGCAUCGGCUAACUCCGUGCCAGCAGCCGCGGUAAUACGGAGGAUGCAAGCGUUAUCCGGAUUUAUUGGGUUUAAAGGGUGCGCAGGCGGAAUAACAAGUCAGUGGUGAAAUCUACAUGCUUAACAUGGAAAGUGCCAUUGAUACUGUUGGUCUAGUAUCCAAAUGAAGUAGGCGGAAUGUAGCAUGUAGCGGUGAAAUGCAUAGAUAUAACACAGAACACCGAUGGGAAGACAGGUUACUAAAUUGAAAUAGACGCUCAGC
rnacentral:rRNA from 1 species